rnacentral:rRNA from 1 species
AUUGAACGCUGGCGGCAUGCCUUACACAUGCAAGUCGAACGGUAACAGGUCUUCGGAUGCUGACGAGUGGCGAACGGGUGCGUAAUACAUCGGAACGUGCCCGAUCGUGGGGGAUAACGAGGCGAAAGCUUUGCUAAUACCGCAUACGAUCUACGGAUGAAAGCGGGGGAUCUUCGGACCUCGCGCGGACGGAGCGGCCGAUGGCAGAUUAGGUAGUUGGUGGGAUAAAAGCUUACCAAGCCGACGAUCUGUAGCUGGUCUGAGAGGAUGAUCAGCCACACUGGGACUGAGACACGGCCCAGACUCCUACGGGAGGCAGCAGUGGGGAAGUUUGGACAAUGGGCGAAAGCCUGAUCCAGCCAUGCCGCGUGAAGGAUGAAGGCCUUCGGGUUGUAAACUGCUUUUGUACGGAACGAAAAGCCUCUUUCUAAUAAAGAGGGGUCAUGACGGUACCGUAAGAAUAAGCACCGGCUAACUACGUG